CAGCAUGUGACAGUUUCAUGAGACAUGAGGGCCCAGCUUACUUUCCUGAGCCUGGAUGACUGCGAGACUGACCUCAGCUCCUCCCAAGGAUGCCCUGAAGUUGUGAGGCAGCCAAGGCAAGGAAAUGAACUCUAAGAAAUCAACGUGCAACAUGUGACUUCCAGCAACUGUCAGCGCAGCCCUGUGGAAAGGAAACCAAGCAGCACAGCACCGUAAGGAAACUGACACAUGAAAGGAAACUGGACACAUUCUGUGGUAUGGGGAAACAAGUACUGGGAGCUGAAUGAUUGAAGCCUGGGUCAAUGCCCAAACCAGGAAAAGAAACCAGAGCUCCUGACUCCCUGAUCUGUGCUGGAAUAAAACUUAUCACUUAUUUGCAUAACAAUUGGAAGCUAACAUUAAUUAAUGAUUCUACCACCAGGCCACAGCCCCUUCUAACCACGCUAUUUUCUCUGGACUUUUUCUAUUAAAACUUAAUCCAGAUUUCCAAUCAACAGAGAUUUCCUACGGCUUGCCAACGUGCAUUGUAAUGUGGCCACUGAUGUUAGAUACAAGCUCACUGAACCUUCUGUGGAAUAAACCUCCAGAUCUCCCUGCCACCCACUUGAGGUUUAUUCCACAGAAGGUUCAGUGGUGAACGGAGUGGUACAGUAUUUUUCCUGCUUAAAUUGUUGUAUAGUGUUGUUGUGGUGCACUGUCCAAUAGUUACCAUGUUUCACCCAGGAGGCAGCCAUUUGUGAUGGGUGAAGUGACCCUUUGCAUAUCAAUGUGUAUAGCACUUUGGGAUCCUUUAGGUUGAAAGCUGCUUGACAGAGUCACCAGGUGGUCGGCUGAGGUGGGUUGGAGUAGGGGCUGGCUAGCGUAGAAACAGGCACAGCUAGAGCAGAAGCAGGAGGUUGAAACUACUGGCAAUAGGAAUAGUAGUGACCCUGAUCACACUGCUUCCCUUAAGAGCCUAUGUACUUGCCUUGGCAUUACCUAGGUCAGUGGUUUUCAAUCUUUUUUCAUUUGCAGACUCCUAAAAUAUUUUGAAUGGAGGGUGGAAAUCUUAGACCCAGUCUGCAGACCUCAGGGGUCCAUGGAUCACAGGUUGAAAACCACUGUUCUAUGGUAACUAGGGCUGUCAAGCGAUUUAAAAAAAAAAUCACAAUUAAUUGUACAAUUAAAAAUAAUAGAAAACCAUUUAUUUUAAUAUUUGUGGAUGUUUUCUACAUUUUCAAAUAUUGAUUUCAAUUGCAACAGAAUACAAAGUGUACUGUGUUCACUUUAUUUUUAUUACAAAUAUUUGCACUGUAAGAAACAAAGUAGGUGAAUUGAAAAACACUACAAGUAUUGUAGUGCAAUCUCUUUAUCAUGAAAGUUGAACUUACAAAUGUAGAAUUAUAUACAAUAAAAACCUGCCUUCAAAAGUAAAACAAUGUAAAACUUUAGAGCCUACAAGUCCUUGUUCAGCCAAUCGCUCAGACAAUCAAAUUUGUUUAUAUUUGCAGAAGAUAAUACUGCCUGCUGCUUGUUUACAGUCUCACUUGAAAGUGAGAACAGCUGGUGCAUGGCACUGUUGUAGCCAGCAUUGCAAGAUAUUUACAUGCCAGAUGCGCUAAAGAGUCAUGUCCCUUGAUGCUUCAACCACUAUUCCAGAGGACAUGUGUUCAUGCUGAUGAUGGGUUCUGCUCGAUAAUGAUCCAAAGCAGUACGGACCGACACAUGUUUAUUUUCAUCAUCUGAGUCAGAUACCACCAGCAGAAGGUUGAUUUUCCUUUUUGGUGGUUUGAGUUCUGUAGUUUACACAUUGGAGUGUUGCUCUUUUAAGACUUCUGAAAGCAUGCUCCACGCGUCAUCCUCUCAGAUUUUGGAAGACACUUCAGAUUCUUAAAUGUUGGGUUGAGUGUUGUAGCUAUCUUUAGAAAUUUUACAUUAGUACCUUCUUUGCAUUGUCAAAUCUGCAGUGAAAGUGUUCUUAAAACGAACAACAUGUGCUGGGUCAUCAUUCGAGACUGCUAUAACAUGAAAUUUAUGGUAGAAUGUGGGUAAAACACAGCAGGAGACAUACAGUUCUCUCUCAAGGAGUUCAAUCACUAAUCAGCAUGGAAGCAUGUCCUCUGGAACGAUGGCCAAAGCAUGAAGAGGCUUAUGAAUCGCUAGUGCAUCUGGCACAUAACUAUCUUGAGACACUAGCUACAACAGUGCCAUGCAAAUGCCUGUUCUCACUUUCAGGUGACAUUGUAAUUAAGAAGUGAGCAGCAUUAUUGCCCGUAAAUGUAAAAAAAUAAAGUUUCUUCUUAGUGAUUAGCUGAACAAGAAGUAGGACUGAGUGGACUUGCAGGCUCUAAAGUUUUACAUUGUUUUGUUUGAGUGCAGUUAUAUAACAAAACAAUCCUUACAUUUGUAAGUUGCACUUUCAUGAUAGAGAGAUUGCAAUACAGUACUUGUAUGAGGUGAAUUGAAAAAUGCUAUUUCUUUAUCAAUUUUACAACGCAAAUAUCUGUAAUAAAAAUAAUAUAAGUGAGCACUGCACAUUUUGUAUUCUGUGUCGUAAUUGAAAUUGAUAUAUUUGAAAAUGAAGAAAAAUAUCCACAAAUAUUUAAUAAAUUUCAACUGGUAUUCUGUUUAACAAUGCCAUUAAUCACAAUUAAUUUUUUUUGAGUUAAUCGCAUGAGUUAACUGCAAUUAAUCAACAGCCCUAAUGGUAACGACAACCUUUCGUGGACCCCAUAAACAGUUUGUGGAUUCCCAGCGGUCUGCGGACCACAGGUUGAAAACCACUAACCUAGGUGCAACCUCACCUGUGGAUUGGCUGAAUCCUAGUUGAAUGGCAUGGCAUCUAUAAUAAAACCUGUGAGUCAUUGGUUCUCAUGACUUAUACUCACUAUUCCAGAAUGACUCAGCGGGCUUAAGCAGGCUCAGGUAUCGUAAAUUACUGUCAUCAGCAAAAGAUGAUAAAUUAAUUCUUUGUAUUUCUUUACCAACUCUCAGUUCAGCAUUUCAAAAUGCAAGACAAAAAUUAAUUAGUUAAGCUCAGAGGCCACUAAAUAUUAAUCCCAUUGUACAGAGAGGGAAAUUAAGGCACAACAAAAUUGUGAUUUGCCCCAGGGCACAGAAGUGAGUUAGUGGCAGAGCCAGGUGUAUAAUCAAUCACUUACUGUUCUCUAACCACCAGACUAUACUUCCUCUCUCCUUUUGCCCCAAAAAUCAUCCUUAUUCUUUGCCACCUUUUAUGACCAACCAUCAAUGAAAUAAUUGCUUUGUAUUCUUCCUCCUGGAAAUACAGGGAGUCCUCGGACUUACGACACAAUUUAUUCCUCAGAAUUGCUUUUCCCAUAGGCAUCAAUGGUAUGAAGGGGGGGGAUUGGAUCCUGAACCAAGGCUUGAUACACUAUUUUCACCACAAUAACCCAGAUUUUUGUACUAAAUGAAUUACAGAUGACUAAUGUUGCAACAUCAAUGUAUUUACUGUACACUGUAUUUUGUAAACAGCAUUCA